ensembl:lncRNA
UGGGGUUACAGUCUCGCUUCCUCUCCAGAGUCACCUUUAAGAUUCUCCUUUCAUCUGGCUGCCUUGGACUGAGCUUGUGCCACACUCAGAAGCAGUCACUGUGGUAGCCGCAGAACUGAAAUUGUGUAAGCUCCGUUUCAAGGCCCUGAGGUCCAGACCCCUGGCUAUUCUUGACCUGCAGCAGCCUUUAACCCUUAGCUCCUGCAUCUCCAGCCUGAGCUUCCACCCAGCUGCUCUUGACCAGCUUUGUUCAUCUGCUCUUCAUGCCUUCAGUAUUAAAGUUGCCUGAAGGCUUGCAGCCAGUAGUUCUUCUUUCUUGGACCCUGCUCUGAUGUAUCGCUCUGUCGCCCAGGCUGGAGUGCCAUGGCAGACUCACUGCAACCUCUGCCUGGCAGGUUCAAGGGAUUCUCCCGAUGCAGCCUCCCUAGUAGCUGGGACUACAGAAGAGCACCACCACUCACUCCUGGCUUACUUUUGUAUUUUUAGCAGAGACGCUGUUUAGACUUGUUGGCCUGGCUGAUCUCGAGCUCAUGACCUCAGGUGAUCCGCCCGCCUCGGCCUCUCGAAGUGCUGGGAUUACAGGCGUGAGCCACCGCGCCUGGCUGUUUCUAUUUUUCAUACCUGUUAACCAUCCCCACCUCCUCCUGAGCCUGCCACUACCCUUCCCAGCCUCCGCUAACCAUCCUUCUAUUCUAUGGGUCCAUGAGUUCAAUAUAUAUGUAUAUUCUUUUGAGACGGAGUCUCGCUCUGUCGCCCAGGCUUGAGUGCCGUGGUGCGAUCUUGGCUCACUGCAACCUGCGCCUCCCGGAUUCAUGCCAUUCUCCAGCCUCAGCCUCUUGAGUAGCUGGGAUUACAGGAGCCCGCCACCAUGCCUGGCUACUUUUUUGUAUUUUUAGUAGAGACGGGGGUUUCACCAUGUUAGCCAGGAUGGUCUGGAUCUCCUGAUCUUGUGAUCCGCCUGCCUCAGCCUCCCAAAGUGCUGUGAUUACAGGCGUGAGCCACCGUGCCUGGCCGAGUUCAAUUGUUUUAAUGUUUUGAUCCCAUAAAUAAGUGAGAACAUGUACUGUUUUUCUUUCUGUAUCUGGCUUAUUUCACUUAACAUGAUGACCUCCAGUUGCAUCCGUUUUGUUGCAAAUGAUAAGAUCUCAUACUUUUUAAUGGCUGAAUAGUACUCAAUUGUGUAUAUGUACCACCUUUUUUUUUCUCCUUUCAUUUGUUGAUGGACACUGAGGUGCUUCCAACUGUUAGCUACUGUAAACGGUGCUGAAACAAACAUGGAGUGCAGAUAUCUCUUCCAUAUACUGAUUUAUUUUCUUUUGGAUAUAUACCCAGCAGUGGGAUUGCUGGAUCAUAUGGAAGCUCAUUUCUUAGUUUUUUGAGGUGGUUGUCCUAAUUACAUUCCUACCAACAGUGCACAGGAGUUCCCUUUUAUCCACAUCCUUGCCAGCAUUUGUUAUUGACUGUCUUUUGGACAUAAGUCAUUUGAACUGGGGUGAGAUAAUAUCUCAUUGUAAUUUUGAUUUGUGUUUCUCUGGUGAUCAGUGAUAGUGAGCACCUUUUCAUAUGCCUGUUUGCCAUUUGUAUGUCUUCUUCUGAAGGGUGUCUAUUCAAAUAUUUUGCCCAUUUUUUGACUGGAUUAUUAGACUGUUUUCUCAUGUAAAUACUGAAGCCCAAACAGUUAAACAAUUAGCCCAAGGAGAAAGCUAUUAUUUGACAAACAAUAUUUUGUCUUAAUUGUUCCAAUUUUUGGCCAAGCCUGGUGGCUCACGCCUGUAAUCCAGCACUUUGGGAGGCUGAGGCGGUAGAGCACUUGAGUUCAGGAGUUCGAGACCACCCUGGCUAACAUGGUGAAACCCCAUCUCUACUAAAAAUACAAAAAUAAGCCAGGCAUGGUGGUGUGUACCGGUAAUCCCAGCUACUGGGGAGGCUGAGGCAGGAAAUUGCUUGAACCCAGGAGUCGGAGGUUGCAGUGAGCCAAGAUCGUGCCACUG